UUUACUUUUUAAACAUUUUUUGCGCGAAAGUUACACUCAAUAACAAACGUUACUAGUUGGAAAAAAUUAUUGUAUUUACUAAUAAAAAAAUAAGUUAAUAAAUAAAUAUGUUUUGUUUAAAGUAUAGACAAUUAUUACCAAAGGAUAUUAUCGUCCGUAAGAUGGCAACUGUUAAAAGGUUUUAUAGAAGAACGAAUAUAUUACAAAGUGGAGAAAAAUAUGAAAUAACAUUGGAUCAACGUAAACUCAAGACACCCAAAGGGCGAGUAUUUGAAGUUUCCAGCAAACCAUUGGCAUUAGCUGUUGCCCACGAAUGGGAUAGUCAAGAGGAUAUUAUUCAACGAAGUAAUAUGCAUAUGACAGCUCUGUGUAGCACUUUUUUAGACAACCCACAAAAUUUAAAUAGCAUUGAUAUUGUUACUUACAUUGCUAAUUAUUUAGAAACUGAUACAAUUUUAUAUCAAUCAAGUGAAACAGAGGAAUUAUUUAAACUCCAAAAGGAAAAAUGGGACCCAAUUAUACAAUGGUUUUGCGAUAAGUAUCAAGUAGAUGUUGAAAAAACAACAAGUAUAAGUUCUCCGGUUAUUCCUAGUGAUACAAAAGAAAAAAUUGUAAGACAUGUUGCCUCUUAUAAUGCUGCAUCUCUUCAUGGAUUCAUGUACGGCGUUGAUGUAUUAAAAUCAGUAAUUCUAAUGCUUGCUUUAUGUGAAAGAGCUUUAAAUGUUGAAGAAGCUAUCGCUUUAUCAAGAUUAGAAGAAGAAUUUCAGAUUUCACAUUGGGGUAAUGUGGAAUGGUCUCAUGAAUUAGGUAAACAAGAUUUACAGGCACGAUUGGCAGCCGCAGUAUUAUUUAUUCAUUUAAAUUCAUCGUCGGCUACUACGAAACCCAAAAUCGAUAGUACAUAAAUUAAUCACAAUUAUAUUUAAGGAUAAUAAAUAAAAAAUAAUUUUUUUUUUUUUUUCCACUGACAAGAUGGAUUUGAAGACGAGCACGAUACUGCAG